rnacentral:rRNA from 1 species
UACAGAGGGUGCGAGCGUUAUUCGGAAUUACUGGGCGUAAAGGGCGCGUAGGCGGCCUCUGCAAGUCGACUGUGAAAUCUCCGGGCUUAACCCGGAAAGGUCAGCCGAUACUGCAGGGCUAGAGUGCAGAAGGGGCAACUGGAAUUCUCGGUGUAGCGGUGAAAUGCGUAGAUAUCGAGAGGAACACCUGCGGCGAAGGCGGGUUGCUGGGCUGACACUGACGCUGACAGCGCGAAAGCUAGGGGAGCGAACGGG